rnacentral:rRNA from 1 species
AUUGAACGCUGGCGGCAGGCUUAACACAUGCAAGUCGAGCGCCCCGCAAGGGGAGCGGCAGACGGGUGAGUAACACGUGGGAACCUACCUGAAGGUACGGAACAACUCCGGGAAACUGGAGCUAAUACCGUAUGUGCCCGAAAGGGGAAAGACUCAUCGCCUUCAGAUGGGCCCGCGUCAGAUUAACUAGUUGGUGAGGUAACGGCUCACCAAGGCGACGAUCUGUAGCUGGUCUGAGAGGAUGAUCAGCCACGCUGGGACUGAGACACGGCCCAGACUCCUACGGGAGGCAGCAGUGGGGAAUAUUGGACAAUGGGCGCAAGCCUGAUCCAGCCAUGCCGCGUGAGUGAUGACGGCCUUAGGGUUGUAAAGCUCUUUCGACGGGGACGAUAAUGACGGUACCCGUAGAAGAAGCCCCGGCUAACUUCGUGCCAGCCGCCGCCGUAAUAC